UACGUAGGGGGCAAGCGUUAUCCAGAUUUACUGGGCGUAAAGCGCGUGUAGGCGGCUGGUUAGGUGUGAUGUGAAAUCUUCCGGCUCAACCGGAAAACUGCAUUGCAAACCGGCCUGGCUAGAGUGCAGGAGAGGGAAGCGGAAUUCCAGGUGUAGCGGUGAAAUGCGUAGAUAUCAGGAGGAACACCGGUGGCGAAGGCGGCUUUCUGGACAGUAACUGACGCUGAGGCGCGAAAGCUAGGGGAGCAAACAGG
rnacentral:rRNA from 1 species